rnacentral:rRNA from 1 species
GAUGAACGCUGGCGGCGUGCCUAAUACAUGCAAGUCGAGCGAACAGACGAGGAGCUUGCUCCUCUGACGUUAGCGGCGGACGGGUGAGUAACACGUGGAUAACCUACCUAUAAGACUGGGAUAACUUCGGGAAACCGGAGCUAAUACCGGAUAACAUGUUGAACCGCAUGGUUCAACAGUGAAAGACGGUCUUGCUGUCACUUAUAGAUGGAUCCGCGCCGCAUUAGCUAGUUGGUAAGGUAACGGCUUACCAAGGCAACGAUGCGUAGCCGACCUGAGAGGGUGAUCGGCCACACUGGAACUGAGACACGGUCCAGACUCCUACGGGAGGCAGCAGUAGGGAAUCUUCCGCAAUGGGCGAAAGCCUGACGGAGCAACGCCGCGUGAGUGAUGAAGGUCUUCGGAUCGUAAAACUCUGUUAUUAGGGAAGAACAAAUGUGUAAGUAACUAUGCACGUCUUGACGGUACCUAAUCAGAAAGUCACGGCUAACUACGUG